GAUGAAGAACGCAGCGAAAUGCGAUAAGUAAUGUGAAUUGCAGAAUUCAGUGAAUCAUCGAAUCUUUGAACGCACCUUGCGCUCUUUGGUAUUCCGAAGAGCAUGCCUGUUUGAGUGUCAUGAAAAUAUCAACCUUGACUUGGGUUUUGUGCUCUAGUCUCGGCUUGGAAUUGGGUGCUUGCCGCUUUUACGAGCGGCUCACCUUAAAUGUAUUAGCUGGAUCUGUCUUUGAGACUUGGUUUGACUUGGCGUAAUAAGUAUUUCGCUAAGGACAUUCUUCGGAGUGGCCUCGUUUCUAGGACGCUUGUCCGCUUUCCAAUACAAGUUCCACCUCGUGGACAUGACUUUUUAUUAUCUGGCCUCAAAUCAGGUAGGACUACCCGCUGAACUUAAGCAUACAAUAAGCGGAGGA
rnacentral:misc_RNA from 1 species